AAACGGGGGCUCUAUUUGCUCCCCUCCAGACUCCACCCCUCCUCCCUCCACAUCUGGCUCCGCCACUCGCUAGGUUUGCAACCGCUUCGCGCAGCCGCUCGGGCCUCGGAGAUCUCCUUCCGCCGCGGCCACCAGGUUGUUCCGAUGGGUAGUCCAAUGGGGAGUUUUCUGGACUCGGUUAGCGAGCACAACCUAGAAAGCGACUCGGAGGAACGUCAAUCUGACAGUACACAAGUUGAGGAAAAUUGGGCAAUUUAUGAUGUUAUAAGGUCCAUGGUGCGUAAGAAUACAACCAAGAAUUUCAAUCGGAAAAGACAGAGGACAAGCGCCACUGCAAGUCCAGGCUCGUCGACUCCUGGAAGCGAUGAUAGCCAUGCUGAUGAUGAAGGGGAGGGUUUUCUCACUGCAAAGGCCCAUUAUGUGGAAACGUUUGAAAACAUGUGGGCCAAGAAGAAAGAGUUUGAAACCUUCAAAGAGAAUAGAAAGCAAGAGCGCCAUGAUCAGAUAUUGCACUGGAGAAGGAAAAGCUAGAACUAAGGAAAACAGAUCUUGAGUUAAGAAAAUGGAUUCGUGAUAAUAAAAUGAUGAGUACGGACAUUAGUGGUCUGAGUGAGCAGCAACAGAAAUACUUUUUGAGCUUGCAGAAUGAGAUCUUCGCCCGACGAUUUGGUGCAGGCUCUGGUUGAGUUACUUCUUAUGUAUGAACUAUGUGUCGAUGUUACAACUAUGCUGUUGUCAUAUAUGAACUAUGUAAUUGUAUGAACUAUGUGUGGAAUAUGUUGUUAGUUGCUUGACUAUAUCAAAGUUGAUCAAUGGGCUCUCUUUGGGCAUGCGAAUUGA